UCCCUUGCCGGUCCGGCUGCUUUCCUCCCCCUUUUCCCCGCCCGACCUCCCCCUCCUUCCCCCGCGGGCCCCCUCCCCGCAGGGAUAAUAUGGUCUCCGGCGAUGGACGCCCCAAGUGCAGGAUAUGCCUUUGAGUACCUUAUUGAAACAUUAAAUGACAGUUCACAUAAGAAGUUCUUCAAUGUACCUAGACUUGGAGGCACCAAGUAUGGUGAACAGUGCCACUAUCCUUUGAAUAGGAAUCAUCAGCAGGGCCCACUGAUUUGAGUUGUUGACCAGGGCAUGGUUUGCCCUGGCUUGUGCCCUGACACUCUUGGCAGACCUUUGCAGGCGCCUGACCAGGAUCAAACCUUUCACUGAGGUUUCAGAAGAGUGAACUUGGCGGAACCCCAGAGUAUUGGAUGGAAGUCUUUAUUGACAACUAAGUAAUUUUCUCAACCAGGCUGGUGAAGGGAAGGCCUGUUUGGAAGAGUGAUUUAGAUUAUUCUUUUCUGACUUUUCAGUGAAAAGAAAAAUUAAAUGCCAAAUCUGUUGCAGUUUUGGAGGGAGCUUUUCCUUAACCUUGGU